CCCUGACAGCCCCUAAUGGGCUGACACUAGCCACGACAGGAGAGACACAUG
rnacentral:ncRNA from 1 species